ACUCCUACGGGAGGCAGCAGUGGGGAAUAUUGCACAAUGGGCGCAAGCCUGAUGCAGCGACGCCGCGUGGGGGAUGACGGCCUUCGGGUUGUAAACCUCUUUCAAUAGGGACGAAGCGCAAGUGACGGUACCUAUAGAAGAAGCACCGGCCAACUACGUGCCAGCAGCCGCGGUAAUACGUAGGGUGCGAGCGUUGUCCGGAAUUACUGGGCGUAAAGAGCUCGUAGGUGGUUUGUCGCGUUGUCCGUGAAAUCUCACAGCUUAACUGUGAGCGUGCGGGCGAUACGGGCAGACUGGAGUACUGCAGGGGAGACUGGAAUUCCUGGUGUAGCGGUGGAAUGCGCAGAUAUCAGGAGGAACACCGGUGGCGAAGGCGGGUCUCUGGGCAGUAACUGACGCUGAGGAGCGAAAGCGUGGGGAGCGAACAGGAUUAGAUACCCUGGUAGGUCAGU
rnacentral:rRNA from 1 species